AUUGAACGCUGGCGGCAUGCCUUACACAUGCAAGUCGAACGGCAGCACGGGAGCAAUCCUGGUGGCGAGUGGCGAACGGGUGAGUAAUAUAUCGGAACGUGCCCAGUCGUGGGGGAUAACGUAGCGAAAGCUACGCUAAUACGGCAUACGAUCUAUGGAUGAAAGCGGGGGAUCGCAAGACCUCCCGCGGUUGGAGCGGCCGAUAUCGGAUUAGGAGGUUGGUGGGGUAAAGGCUCACCAAGCCGACGAUCUGUAGCUGGUCUGAGAGGACGACCAGCGACACUGGGACUGAGACACGGCCCAGACUCCUACGGGAGGAGGCAGUGGGGAAUUUUGGACAAUGGGCGCAAGCCUGAUCCAGCAAUGCCGCGUGCAGGAUGAAGGCCUUCGGGUUGUAAACUGCUUUUGUACGGAGCGAAAAGGCUUCCACUAAUAAUGGGGGCUCAUGCCGGUACCGUAAGAAUAAGCACCGGCUAACUACGUGUCAGCAGCCGCCGUAACAC
rnacentral:rRNA from 1 species